rnacentral:rRNA from 1 species
CAGCAGCCGCGGUAAUACGUAGGGUGCGAGCGUUGUCCGGAUUUAUUGGGCGUAAAGAGCUCGUAGGCGGUUUGUCGCGUCGGCCGUGAAAACCUACAGCUUAACUGUGGGCUUGCGGUCGAUACGGGCAGACUUGAGUUCGGCAGGGGAGACUGGAAUUCCUGGUGUAGCGGUGAAAUGCGCAGAUAUCAGGAGGAACACCGGUGGCGAAGGCGGGUCUCUGGGCCGAUACUGACGCUGAGGAGCGAAAGCGUGGGGAGCGAACAGGAUUAGAUACCCUGGUAGUCCACGCCGUAAACGGUGGGCGCUAGGUGUGGGGACUGGUUCCACGGUUUCCGUGCCGUAGCUAACGCAUUAAGCGCCCCGCCUGGGGAGUACGGCCGCAAGGCUAAAACUCAAAGGAAUUGACGGGGGCCCGCACAAGCGGCGGAGCAUGUGGAUUAAUUCGAUGCAACGCGAAGAACCUUACCUGGGUUUGACAUGCACUGGAUCGCCCUAGAGAUAGGGUUUCCCUUGUGGCUGGUGCACAGGUGGUGCAUGGCC